UACGUAGGAGGCAAGCGUUGUCCGGAUUUACUGGGCGUAAAGCGCGCGCAGGCGGCAGUGCAAGUAAGGUGUGAAAUCUCCCUGCUCAACGGGGAGGGUGCAUUUUAGACUGCACAGCUAGAGGUCGGUAGAGGGGGGUGGAAUUGCUGGUGUAGCGGUGAAAUGCGUAGAUAUCAAGAGGAACACCUGAGGUGAAGACGGGUUGCUGGGCUGACACUGACGCUGAGGCGCGAAAGCCAGGGGAGCAAACGGG
rnacentral:rRNA from 1 species